UUACGGUCAAAUCACGCUGAAAACACCGGUUCUCGUUCGAUCACCGAAGUUAAGCAUCGUAAGGUCAGUACUUAGAUGGGGGACCGCUUGGGAACACCUGGUACUGUAAG